GACAGUGUGGUUAAGUGGUUUAAAUGUUGCACUAGGACUCUGGAGACCAGAGUUUGAAUCCUUGCACAGCCA